rnacentral:sRNA from 1 species
AACGCCUUCAACACCCUGCCCUGGUCGGUA